AUUUAACAGAACAUAACAAACAAUAUACAAUCACAAAUAGAGCAAGUGACGUACGUGAAAAAAAGUUUAUAUAAAAGUGGACAUGGGCAUUUUGACAAGUGCAGACAUGGGUCAGACAGGCAAUUCCCAUUGGGGAAAAUUGCAUUCCAUCUGAACAGAAGCUGUUCAGGGUCAGGGACAUUGUGGUCUCUCCACCAACUGGCUUUAUCCCAGUUUCAGUAACGAGGUUAUGGCCAUUGUGUAUGCAGCCCUGACACCGUAUUGUAGAGCACCCAUAGGGCUCUGGUCAAAAGGAGUGCACUACACAGGGAAUAGAUUGCCAGGUUUUUGUUAUUAUAAGGAUUACAAUGAUAUUUGCAUCUAUUGAGACUAUGGAGACAAUUCAACUAUUUUAUCAAACUGAUAAAAAAGCAACAAAACCUAAGAAGAAAAAAAACACUCAAGCAAUCUUUGAUUUCGUCAUUGUCUCUGGCUUUGUCUGUUUCAAUCAAAGGCAGUAGCUCUUUUGGUGGUUUCGUUUCCAGGGUUAACAGAAGUGAGAGAGAGGCAGGUCACAUAGGCCUACAACCUACACACCUCUGUGGGCGCAGCUUCCUGCAAUACCUGUCCGAAACACACCAGCUCAGAAGCAACUGUUGUUUCUCCUAUGAGAGUACAAAACCUUACCAACACCAAACCAUCACACUAUGCAUGCUACCACGUAUGACAAAGCUUUUUGUUGGGUUUAAGGAGGCUUAGAGGCAAUUUUUUAUUUAAAAAAAAUCAUGUUUUAAAAAUAAAUAAAUUAAUAAUCGUGUUUUAAAGUAUGACACUAAAGGUUUGCAAAUGGUAAACCUAAGUUGAGCUGAUAACACUUUUUUUAUUUAAAUAAAAGUGGUCUACAUCUGAAAGGAAGUGGAACUUUCAUGGAACUAGAGGUUUUACCAGUGAACAUGAAACUGUCCAUUGCCAGACUGUAACUUGUGACCUGUAAUUCUGCUUGUAAUAGCACACAGAGAAUGACAUCUCUUUGGUUUAUUUUGAUGAUUUUGUUCAUCGUCAAGCUACGGCAGUCUGUGGAGGAGUCUGUGUUUCGAAAGGUCCAGCUUGGAGAUACUGCUAUUUUCCCCUGUGAUAUCUCUUACCAUUACGAGAUAACCUGUAAUCUUUGGUCACCAACACAAUCUUCGUUUCGAGGCACAGAUUGCCAACAGGUCAUUGGCAUUGAAAAUCAAGACUGUUGAGGAUGCAGACCUUGGAUUGUAUUACUGAAUGGGAAAGGUUGGAAAAAUGAUGAUGCUUGGGGGAGAAAGCAGAAUUCAUGGUAAGAGGAGAUUUUUGAUAAUCAAAAACAUAUGUGUAUUUCUCACAAAAUACCAUGCUCCUCAAUUUAGAAUAUGCCAUUUUAGUUGUUAAAUCUGUCACAAAAUGUUAUUCUCACAUCUAAAACGUUCUGCCUCAGAGACUUUAUGUUCAGUCACUCCAACUGUGACCUUAACAAACCUAUUUAUCAUCACUGGUGGUACACCUAAUCAUCAACCGAUCUCAUUAGUAAUUUAUGUCACUAUUGUUCAGUGUCUGGCCUAGAAACUAUAAAUGAAUAUUUUACCACUUGUGUACAAGGUAACAUAAAUAUAUAUACUAAAUUAUAUUACAGCUUAAAUACUAUGUCAUACUGCAUUUAACACAAACAAAAAUGAGCCAUGCAAUUUUCCUAAUGUAGCAUAAUUUCAGCAGGUAAAGCUAACCUCGCCUCCCUCCUCCUAUACUUCUCCUUUUAGCUUUGCCUGCAAUGUCUAUUGGUACUAACGGUCUCUCCUUAUUUCAUCUGCAUGAAGUUUUUAAGUUUUAAGUUCCUCGGCAUACACAUCACGGACAAACUGAAAUGGUCCACCCACACAGACAGUGUGGUGAAGAAGGCGCAACAGCACCUAAAAAUUUGGCUUGGCACCUAAAACCCUCACAACCUUAACAGAUGCGCAAUUGAGAGCAUCCUGCCGGGCUGUAUCACCGCCUGGUAUGGAAACUGCACCGCCCUCAAACGCAAGGCUCUCCAGAGGGUGGUGCGGUCUGCACAACGCAUCACUGGGGGCAAACUACCUGCCCUCCAGGACACCUGCAGCACCUGAUGUCACAUGAAGGCCAAAAAGAUCAUCAAGGACAACAACCACCCGAGCCACUGCCUGUUCACCCUGCUAUCAUCCAGAAGUCGAGUUGGACUGGGUCUGGUGGGGAUGAUACUGGCAGUUUGCAUCACUCAUCACAAGAACAAGAAAGGGAACACGACAACCUUAACGGAAGGCCAUAAAGAUCAUCAAGGACAUCAACCACCCAAACCACUGCCUGUUCACCCCGCUAUCAUCCAGAAGGCGAGGUCAGUACAGGUGCAUCAAAGCUGGGACCGAGAGACUGAAAAACAGCUUCUAUCUCAAGGCCAUCAGACUGUUAAACAGCAAUCACUAACAUUGAGCGGCUGCUGCCAACACACUGUCAUUGACACUGACCCAACUCCAGCCACUUUAAAAAUGGGAAUUGAUGGGAAAUGAUGUAAAUAUAUCACUAGCCACUUUAAACAAUGCUACCUUAUAUAAUGUUACUUACCCUACACUAUUCAUCUCAUAUGCAUAUGUAUAUACUGUACUCUAGAUCAUCGACUGCAUUCUUAUGUCACUAGCCACUUUAACUAUGCCACUUUGUUUACUUUGUCUACAUACUCAUCUCAUAUGUAUAUACUGUACUCGAUACCAUCUACUGUAUGCUGCUCUGUACCAUCACUCAUUCAUAUAUCCUUAUGUACAUAUUCCUUAUCCCCUUACACUGUGUAUAAGACAGUAGUUUUGGAAUUGUUAGUUAGAUUACUUGUUGGUUAUCACUGCAUUGUCGGAACUAGAAGCACAAGCAUUUCGCUACACUCGCAUUAACAUCUGCUAACCAUGUGUAUGUGACAAAUAAAAUUUGAUUUGAUUGAUGAUUUGAUUUGACUAAAUUCCUUUUUGCCCCACUGUAUGCUGAUUAUUUAUCUGAAGACAAUCGUGUUAUGGUCAAGAGCUCACGAAUUUGGGUCAAGUUUAUCAGGAAGGAAACCACCCAUCUUUGCUUUUCUGCUUUAUUAAAAGCUGAGGUCUGGAACUCCCUCCAGGUCAUCUCUCUCUCCAUUCCUUGGCCUUGGUUGCCUGGUUUUUAAGCACUACAUUAAUUCAUUGUGGAGAACAAACAUCCGUUUGGCCAGAGCGAUGUGGAUGGGUAGCCUUGGUACAUAAAUAUUUUUGCAGGACAACUCCUGGGAACCAUGUACAUAUGUGAGGCCGUUUCAGCACCAGAUGACACAAGAGGGUUGCAGGUCUGCAGUCAUUCAUUUUAAUUAGAGAAAUAUCCUAUAAACCGAACUGUUUUAAAUGUCAAUGUACUUUAUUGCACACAAUCCUCAAAUAAA